rnacentral:rRNA from 1 species
AACGAACGCUGGCGGCAUGCCUAACACAUGCAAGUCGAACGAGACCUUCGGGUCUAGUGGCGCACGGGUGCGUAACGCGUGGGAACCUGCCCUUAGGUUCGGAAUAACUCCCCGAAAGGGGUGCUAAUACCGGAUAAUGUCUUCGGACCAAAGAUUUAUCGCCUUUGGAUGGGCCCGCGUUGGAUUAGCUAGUUGGUAGGGUAAAAGCCUACCAAGGCGACGAUCCAUAGCUGGUCUGAGAGGAUGAUCAGCCACACUGGGACUGAGACACGGCCCAGACCCCUCCGGGGGGCAGCAGGGGGGAAUAUUGGACAAGGGGCGAAAGCCUGAUCCAGCAAUGCCGGGUGAGUGAUGAAGGCCUUAGGGUUGUAAAGCUCUUUUACCCGGGAUGAUAAUGACAGGACCGGGGGAAUAAGCCCCGGCUAACCCCGU